UAGCAUAAUAAAUUGUUUCUUAAUUGGGAACUGGAAUGAAAGGUUAAACAAUUUUUGAAGAUAUAUAAAAUAAUUAAUGAAUUUUUAAUAUAAGUAAGAAUACUUAUAUUAUCUAAAGGGACGAUAAGACCCUAGAAGCUUUAAUUUUUAAGAAUAUAGAAUAAUUAUUCCAAAAAUUUAUAUACUUUAAAAAAUUUUUAUUGGGGAAAUAGUAAUUUUAUAAAUAAUUUAUUUAGAAUAGUAUAAAAAUUGUUUAAGGUCUUUUUUAUAAAAAUGUAUAGAAUUAGUUACUCUAGGGAUAACAGCGUAAUAAUUUUGGAUAGGCCAUAUAUAUAAAAUUGAUUACGACCUCGAUGUUGAAUUAAAAUAUCUUUAUAAAGUARAAAUUAUAAGAGAAG
rnacentral:rRNA from 1 species